rnacentral:lncRNA from 1 species
CUCCGCUGGGAAGCUUCCAUCGCCCUCACCGGCGCGGCCGCCGUCGACCUCGCUCAGCACCAUCAGGUCGGGGUUUAGUUCCCUCACCGACUGGAGCAACGCCGUCCGGGCGUCCAGCCCGCCGUGGCCCACGCGGAACUGGGCGCAGACCACCAGGAUCUCGCCGCCGGUGAGGGACAGGGAACGUGGCGCGAGGGAGUCCGCCCGCUCGAUUCGGAGGUUAAGGUCGAUGGACUUGGCGUAGCGGAGGAGGUGGGAGGAGAAGUCGUACCCCGGCGGCGCCGCCGAGAAGGGCCCUGGCGGGGCGGCAGCGCCGGCGACGGUGAGGCGGACGAGGGCAGGAGGGCCGCCCGGGCGGCGGGUCAGCGCCUCGAGGAGCGUUGGCCACUGGACCCCGUGGGAGACGCCGAUGUCCACCACGUGGAGGGGCCUUAGUCGCUGGUUGGAGUCUAGGGUUAGGGCUUGGAGGAUGGAGGCGUUGGCGAGGGAGUUGGGGAGGGCGAACCAGGGGCUGACGUCGUGGAACUUGAUGAGCGCCGACCGGAAGAGCUUCGGCUCCGUCGAAACGAAACACGGGGAGUCGUCGGCGGGGCCACCGCCGCGGGCGGGAACGUUCACCGCCGCCGCGAUCCUGGUGGAGGAGAGGUGGCGGGUUAGAGUGCGUAGGCCGUAGGCGGCGAGGCGGUGGUUAGCGUCGCCGGACGGGGAGGCGAGCUCAUGAAGAACGCAUAAUAAAUGCUGGACUCUCGAGAGGUUGGCCACCUCGAUGGCGGUGGCACAGGGGUUGAGCAAAUGCUCGGCCCACCUCACCUCCUUGUUCCCAUUGCCGGAAUUCCCUCCAUUCCCCUUUCCCUGGCCCUUUCUUCCAUUCCCCGGCUUUUGGGGGAUCUCGCCUUCUUCCUCGAACUUCCCAUUGCGCUCGUCGCUAGCAUCAGGCCCAGUUCUCCGCCGGUUUCCAUGAGCUGCCACCUUGUUGGGGGUGGUUGGACUGGUGGGCAGCUUCCGUUUCUUGGAGAAUUCAGGUUGUGGAAGUGACUGAGGGCUGCUGCUGGUGGUGGUGGUGGAAGGGACGGCUAUGGGGGUGGUGGAUGGGGGCAUCUGGAGGAGGUUGGCUUGGUCUUGCUCCUGAGUCCACCAUUCCGAGCCGGCAAUGGAUUCAGGGAUGCUGUAGGGGUCAUCGAGGAAGGAGGGGAUGAAGGAGAUGGAGUCCUCUAACCAAUCUAGGAGGUGGUGGUNNNNNNNNNNNNNNNNNNNNNNNNNNNNNNNNNNNNNNNNNNNAGAGAGAGAGAGAGAGAGAGAGAGAGAGAGAGAGAGAGAAUGAUACGAAUGGAGGUUUAGGUUCUUAAAGCAUUUUUGGCUCAGAUAGUAAGAAGGAUAUCAUGGUGAAUAAGGUAUUAGACUUGAGAGUGUGAGUGAGGAUAAGAUUACAUAAAAAGAAGUAUAGGCUCUGAAAGGGUUUUAGGUUUAGAAAGUUGGAACGGGAUCAUGCUGGGGAAGAGAGAGAUGGAAAGAGGUUUGAUGAUUCUGAGCAUUGACUUUAGACUUUAAGAUUGUUUGGGAUAGAUAAUUUUGGUUUCUUCUGUGGUUGGAAGCUUAAACAAUAGGGAGGAGAUGGUAGGAAGGGCGGUGGAAUUGAUAUAUUUUAUGGUCGCGGUUGGUGUUGUGAUUGGAGGUUUGAGUGUGGUUUUUUGUACUCUGCUGCAGGUUUAUUAGGGAGAGUAAUAGCUGUUGGUUGUUAGUUGGUAUGCAAAUAUAAUACUCGUUGUGCUCUGCAUUGUAUAUGUGAAUGAUUGGGAUCCAAAUGACAACAGUACAAGAUGUAUAAGGUUGCAUGACAGUGAUCUGUUUGGGAUUUUCAGUGGAGUAUCUUGUAGAUGCUGCAGACCUUGGCUUAUAGAAUAUCAACAUUUUUCUCUAAAAGGAUGUAUGCUGUGCAUGUGUAAUGUUUUAGUUGGUUAUGUGCGAAGAUGCAUGCUGCUGGCAGUAUGUCAGUUUGGAGAAAAAAAAAUGUGGUUAAUUUUAAUUUCAGUGGUCAGCAAGAACACACUGUAAUGCAAUAAAAUUGUGAAUGAAACUUAGCAACAAUAUUGAAAGAGACAUUCUAGUCCUUGUGGGCAGCAUAUAUCAUCUAACUUUUAACAGUCCUUGCUGGCACCAUGCAUCAUCUGGCUUUAAUACCUCUUAUCUUUUCUGUGUUUUUUUUUUGUGUCAGGUUAUCAUCACAUCGAUGAACAAUGAAGUUUGAACAGACGUUCGGCAUCUUAUAUAUGGAGUAGGCAGCAUAACUAUAACCAUAAGCGACAAGCAACACUCUACUAUUUAGACGGUUUGAUGAAUUGUCUCUCGUUUCUCUCAAGCACAUUAUCCUUGGAGUAACUGAUAUUAAAUUUUAUCUAAAAAUUAGCAUGCAUGUUAUAUUGGAUCUUCCACAACUUGUAGUCCUUUCAUUAUGAAAUCUAAUAUACACUCAUUGGGGACAUGGAUCUUUGUUAGAUGUAAACAUACUCUCUCUUCAUAGCUUCAUGUGCAAGUGGCUGUUCUUACCAUUUUCUUUGAUCUUCAUUGCACAUAAACAUAUCAUCUCAGUCUAACUCUACAUUACAGUUGAAGUUGCUAGUUGGCAUAUAAUCUUGUAUUUUAAAGUAAUAAACACUAGCAUUUGUAGUUCAUUGCCGAAAUCUCUGUAGCAAUUCACUUUUCCCCCUUACUUUCCUGUUAGUUCUACCUGAUUUGCUCAUUUGGAAAAUCAACAUCAUCUUGCAGAGAAUUUGUGUCCUGCAUUCAUGCUUGGAUCAUUUUGUUUUCUCUCCAUCAACCAGCCUAACAUAAGUAGAUCUAGAUGCAGGCUGAAGUGGAUAACAGAAAUAAGCAUUACAACAUAGAAUACAAAGUAAACUUUAUUUUUUUCCAAAAUAUGAUUGCUACACUACCAGUCUACCACCAUGAUUGAACCUUUUACCUCUCCGAAGUGGAGAGGGGUGCCAAGCAGCUGAGUUAGGCUGGUUGGAAUAUUAUUCUUUAUUGUUAUGAAAAACUGUUUUGCUAAUUUUGAGGAUUGCUAUUACAUGCAAAUAUCUUUACUUAGUCCAUAGAUUCAAUCCUUGUUCCUAAUAUUUUUUCUAAUGAGAAGUCCUGGAAAGUAGACAAUGACAAACUUCAAUUCCAAUAAUUAUCUAGCAGCAUAUAGGAGACAAGAUAAGAGGGGGCUUUGUUCAAAGAUAGAGGAAGGGUGAAGAAGAGUCAUUGGAUGUUACUUAUGGAUAUAGCACCGGCAUUGCAAUCAGUGUAUUUUGAAAAGCUUAUCACCUUUCAAACAAUUUAAGCCUUUACCUAUUUUUAGUAUCUGGGCUAUGCUAAACUCAGCAAAGCUUAUCAAUAAAGCAGGGCCAGAUGUAGGGACUCUGACAGUAAUAUGGCUCAAAGGAUAGAAAGAUAAAGUGGGUGACCUAUUAAGUGAAGGCUUAUAUCACACUCGUUACCUUAUUCGAACCAGUUUGAUUAGGACAACCAUGAUGAAGGCAGCCGCCAACAUGCAUGUUAUUCUAAACAUAGAGACUGUAAUAUAAUUCUAGUUAGAAUAAUAUUGU